rnacentral:rRNA from 1 species
AUUGAACGCUGGCGGCAUGCCUUACACAUGCAAGUCGAAACGGCAGCACGGGAGCAAUCCUGGUGGCGAGUGGCGAACGGGUGAGUAAGUAUAUCGGAACGUGCCCAGUCGUGGGGAUAACGUAGCGAAAGCUACGCUAAUACCGCAUACGAUCUAUGGAUGAAAGCGGGGGGAUCGCAAGACCUCGCGCGAUUGGAGCGGCCGAUAUCAGAUUAGGUAGUUGGUGAGGUAAAGGCUCACCAAGCCGACGAUCUGUAGCUGGUCUGAGAGGACGACCAGCCCACACUGGGACUGAGACACGGCCCAGACGUCCUACGGGAGGCAGCAGUGGGGAAUUUUGGACAAUGGGCGCAAGCCUGAUCCAGCAAUGCCGCGUGCA